rnacentral:lncRNA from 1 species
UAGUCAGCCAGUGGAAAGAUUUAGACAGAGAGAUAUGACCAGACUUGUGUUUUAGAAGAAUGGCUUUGGCAGCUGUAUGAGCAAAGGGCUUUCAGGAAGGAAGAACAAAUGCAGGGAGACAAGCAUUUAUAGCUUCCUGGAGUCUGCUUUGAGCAACUGCUUUCCCUUGCCUUACCUUCCAAUACUCAAGCUCUUCAGCAACCUCACUGAGGCUGCCUGCCUGCAGAGCACAUGCUGUCCCAGGAGAGGUCCAGUUGGGAGGGGCUGGAGAGGUGCUAAGCCAAGAGGAUCCAGGGAGAGCAGAGGCAGCUCAACAAGAAGGGGUGUUAAGGGCCUUGCUCAGAAGAAGGCUGGCUCCGAGGAGCACAGAGCGGUUUGGCUGGAAGAUGAAGAAACCAAGGCACAGACUCAUGUCCAGGACCCUAAAACCAGUGCAUGGUGGAGCCAGCAUUCAAACCCAGCACACGGGACGCCAGAGUCCAUGCUCCUAACCACUACAUUGUGAUGCCUUGAAACUCAUGGCAGAGAAGAGUUUGAGAGAAAGGUUUCAGAAAGACAAAAGUAGAAAUCCUGAAAGACUCUGAGCAUAAAGUUAAUGCUGCAGCAAUAGAUUUAGAAAAAUGAUGCAUGAUGAUCUAAGUGGAAGGUGUGACAUACCCCCAAAGAAAUGCUGAAUUCCCCAGUCACAGGCAGAGAAAGUAAAGGUGGGGCCUGCUGAGCACGUCAGAGCAGAAUGGGCAUGGCAUAGCUCCGUCAAGUCUCCCAGAGCUCCAGAGCAGCACAAAAAGGCAUCCAAAUAUUUCCUGUGCUUCCCUGUCCUCUCACCUCAAGAGGGAUGCAAAAGACAAGGCUGGAGUGACCUCAAGCAGUCUAGCAGUCUUGAAAGUUGUAUGAACUGGAAACACAAGUCCAGAGGAGAACAAGGCCAUCUUGAGGAUACCAGCAAGGAUAGAUCACUAUGCCCGGAAGCCAAUAGGAGCCAUCACAAAUAAACAAGAAUUUCUGAGGACAAAGGUCCCCCUCUUGAUAGACAUCAAAGUAUGAUGACUUAAGGCCCCAGAACUUAGAGGCAACUCAGGGAGAAAAUGGUGGGGGAAAAAAAACUCCGGAACAGACUUAAUAAAUAAUUGACCAAAGGUAGCCUGAGUUGAAUAUGAUUGAAAUUAAGUUCAGUUACAGAAUAAUGUUAUAUUUGUUUUUUGCACAGAGGAUUUUGCAGCCUGAGACUUUUACCUGCUUGGCUAUAAAGAAAUAAAACUUGUUUACCUUUGCAAACAG